rnacentral:rRNA from 1 species
AACGAACGCUGGCGGCAUGCCUAACACAUGCAAGUCGAACGAGACCUUCGGGUCUAGUGGCGCACGGGUGCGUAACGCGUGGGAACCUGCCUUUAGGUUCGGAAUAACUCAGAGAAAUUUGAGCUAAUACCGGAUAAUGUCUUCGGACCAAAGAUUUAUCGCCUUUAGAUGGGCCCGCGUAAGAUUAGCUAGUUGGUGGGUAAAGGCCUACCAAGGCGACGAUCUUUAGCUGGUCUGAGAGGAUGAUCAGCCACACUGGGACUGAGACACGGCCCAGACUCCUACGGGAGGCAGCAGUGGGGAAUAUUGGACAAUGGGCGAAAGCCUGAUCCAGCAAUGCCGCGUGAGUGAUGAAAGGCCCUUAGGGGUUGUAAAGCUCUUUACCCGUAGAAUGAU